rnacentral:rRNA from 1 species
GAGGAAGGCGGGCGGCGUGCCUAAUACAUGCAAGUCGAGCGAACAGACGAGGAGCUUGCUCCUCUGACGUUAGCGGCGGACGGGUGAGUAACACGUGGAUAACCUACCUAUAAGACUGGGAUAACUUCGGGAAACCGGAGCUAAUACCGGAUAAUAUAUUGAACCGCAUGGUUCAAUAGUGAAAGACGGUUUUGCUGUCACUUAUAGAUGGAUCCGCGCCGCAUUAGCUAGUUGGUAAGGUAACGGCUUACCAAGGCGACGAUGCGUAGCCGACCUGAGAGGGUGAUCGGCCACACUGGAACUGAGACACGGUCCAGACUCCUACGGGAGGCAGCAGUAGGGAAUCUUCCGCAAUGGGCGAAAGCCUGACGGAGCAACGCCGCGUGAGUGAUGAAGGUCUUCGGAUCGUAAAACUCUGUUAUUAGGGAAGAACAAAUGUGUAAGUAACUAUGCACGUCUUGACGGUACCUAAUCAGAAAGCCACGGCUAACUACGUG